AGAGACACAACGACGUCUACUUUGUUCCUUGGUCAGUCGAUGGCCUGCGGGUGUCUGCUGGUGUCUGGCCGUGUGCUCUUUCUCGACGUACAGCUGUUUGUGUCCAUGGGCACAGGCCCGAGGUUGUAGCCCUUGCCAGGGAUCCUGCCCUUCUCUACUCAGCACUUCGCUGCCCCUCUCCUGAAUCACAUCAAUUAAGAACUUUCUUCACCACCCCUUCGCUGUCAUCCUUUUCUCUCCACUAUUCACCCAACAUCAUCCGGGACCAGAACUAAUGUCAGCAAAGCAGGGGAAGGAAGUAAACUUCUAGGAGUAGAAGAAAGGAUGAAAAAGCCAACCACAACCCCCUUUCUUCAUUAAAGGCUUCCCUCUACCGUACUCGAAAACAACUUUGCCAUUUUGAUAAUCAAAUGAAAAAGUAUAGUUUCUAACUCUGUACUAUUUGUACACUAUUUGUACUUUCUAAAUCUAUACUAUUCGUAUUAUUUAAAAGUGACCAUAAAUAUUAUAAACUAAGUUAACCAAGGUUUUGCCUGGAGGCAAGGGAAGACCAAAUCCCAUGAUACAACUUAAAUAGUUGAAUUCCACUUAUGUGAAAACACACACAUAUGUUUAAAAGGCAUAUAUGUAUAAAAAUGGAUAUCAAAUGGUAUGAAAUAAUUUGCACUAAAUUGAUAAUUGAGGAAAAAAUGUGAAGAGAAACUUCCAGACCAAAAGCUUCAUGGGCAAAAGAACCAUAUCUUCACAUCCUUAAUGAGGAUAAGGAUUGCAGAGGCAGUACUUUGUAGGGUUACACAUUUCCUGAGAGUAUCUACAUAUUCAUAGGCAACACCGAUGUGAAUGUGACAGGCAAGUAUUGGAGGGAGUGGCCAAUGACUCACAGUUUUCUUGGCAUUACAGUUAAUGGGGAAACUUC
rnacentral:lncRNA from 1 species